CAGGUUCUCGUCCGAUCACCGAAGUUGAGCAACGUCGAGCCUGGUCAGUACCUAGAUCCGUAACCGCUUGGGAAUACCAGGUGUCGUAAG